rnacentral:tRNA from 1 species
GGAGAGAUGCAGGAGUGGUUGAACUGGCACGCCUGGAGAGCGUGUGUAUCUUAACGGGUACCGUGGGUUCGAAUCCCACUCUCUCCGCAA